UCAUACUAAUAUUUCUAUCUCCAAUCCAUUACUGCAUUCAUAAUGAAUUAGAGUAAUUUAUUAGUCACUCUAAUUCAUUAGAUAGUUUAAUCUUCUAUUGUUUGUUACUUACAACCUAGCCUACACAUGAGAAAACCAGCAUGCAUAAUACUGCUUUUCUAAUAAAAUUGUUCAAUUCCAAUGGACUUGAUCCAUUUACCUUACUGAUUUUGAAGUAUGUAAAUAAAAGAUGUACCUUUCUCCCAACUUUGAAAAAGCCAAGGAAUUUUUCUUUUUUUUUUUAAAGAUUUAUUUAUUUACUAUAUGUAAGUACACUGUAGCUGCCUUCAGACACUCCAGAAGAGGGCGUCAGAUUUCAUUACAGAUGGUUGUGAGCCACCAUGUGGUUGCUGGGAUUGGAACUCAGGACCUUCGGUAGAGCAUUUGGCACUCUUAACUGCUGAGCCAUCUCGCCAGCCCCGGAAAUUUUCUUUAAAAAAAAAAGAUUUCUACAUUGUAAUUUCAACUAACUUACAAUGGAUUUCAUUUCACAUAUUUUUCUGUGCAUUAAUAUUAUUAGAAUAAUCAACUUGAUGCUGUUCACAAAAGGUUACAAAAUAUGGAAAUUUUUAGAUAUUUCUACAACUAAGUUUAUUAGUGGCCUUUAUCUCGUUUUCUGUCAUCAUAGUCUUCAUGUGAUAAUAAUUCAUUUGUUAGAUGAAAAUAGACUAAUGUGAUGUUUUGUAUCUAAAUGUCUGUAGUUUUUGGAAGGGUUACAAGCCACUGCAGCUUGAUUGUCUUUUGCUGGUAGGUCCAGAAGACAAGUACUUUAUAGGAUGCAGCUGUAGCAAUUCCUUGUUGGCUGUACUUGCAGGUACAAGCACACUUCUGAUCACCAAGGGAAACAGGAUUUGGUUUUAGAUGUUAAAAUAGCUGUUUUUGAGCUGCCUUGAUGGUUAAGAGCACGAUGAAGAAUAGAUUUUAUUUUUCAUUUAAUUCAAAAUAAUAACCCAUAUUUUCAAUGAAUGUCAUAAGGAAAACCAUGAUAAAAAACCUUGCACAAAAUGGUUAAUAUGCCUAUAAUUUGCAUUUAGUAUUUUGUUAAGUUGAAAGUGAACACUGGAGUUGCAUUGUAAUAUAUGAAUUAGAAGACUCCAGGACACAUUUAUUUUGCCUUUGCUUCUAACAAAAGUAUAUGCCCAAGUAAUGUGCUUGUUUGUGGUCUAAGAGUUUAGAAGGAAAAAAAGGAAAAAAAAAUUCCUUUUGUUGCACAGAGGAGAAAUGCAAUGGGAAUAUGAUUCUUGAGGGAUGUAAAUUGGCCUCUGGCAUUGUCUUUAGCGGCUGCUUCUCCAGCUUUCACCACACCCUGACAUUGUCCUCACUUUCUUCAACAUGGUCUCUCCACUCGCCAUUCACUUGGGCACACUGAGGGUAAAACGGGUUGUGAAAAUCUAGAUAUUGGCUGUGACCAUAUGGAAUUUAUAAUCAAAUGGGACCUGCAAGCAUUUAUCAAAUGUAUUCUCCUCUCUCAUCCUCCAGUCCUCCCCUUUUAUUUUUCUCCCUUCCUUCUGUGUGUCCUUCUUUUCCCAGUGUCAUGGGUCUAGAAGUUAUAGCAGAGCCACACCCAGAGUCCGUCCUCAGAGCGGAUGCUGGACAUCUGCCCGCUUCAGGGGGAUCCAGAAUGUCUUUCCAUGGAAGGGUUGUUUGAGCUUCAAAUUGAAAGAUCAAUAAGAAUUAACCAGGGAAAGAACAAGAAAGAGAACUGUAAGUGAUGAACAAACCAUUGCCAAAAGAGUCAGUCCUGGGGGACUACAUAGCAGGAAGAUGAAGCUCAACAGAGGCAUUAGGCGAUCAUGCUGAAGAUCCUUACAGAAGUCAGAAGCCAGUGGCUAACCAUUGCAUUUCCAACGUAGAGGGUUCAUUUCCCAGACAAGCUUCUAACACUUCCAUUUCCCAGUUUACUUAGAAAAAAAAAUUCCGGUUAAGAGCAGUAUGGUUUAUUAAUCCAUCUAAUGUGCAUUUGUGUGUGUGUGUAUGUGUGUGUGUGUUUAUAUUUUUAUAUAAAAUUUGAAUUUUAUAUUUUAUUUUUCUAGUGGCAUUUUUAGGUUUAUGACCUCUGUUGCUUUCUUCCUUCCUCCUCCCCUGCUCUCCUGGUGAUCACCACACACACUGUCUCUAUUUCUCUAUUCUGAAAUGGAGAAAGUAUCCCAGGAUGUGGAAAGGGACAGUGUGACAGAGAAUAGAAGAAAUGACAGUGGGAGGUACAGCCACAGCCAUCCCAAGCAUCCGAAUAAGUCUUUUAAGUCAUCACUUUUACAUCAUCACAUUUCCACCUUGCCUGGAGGCCGAGGAGAAACUCAAGUUUUAUUGCUCUUCGUUGGGCUUCAGUUUUUCAUCUGAGAUCCUUGGGGUGAGUCUCUGUAAACAGUCUCUGGGCCUCUAGUGCUGCAUCCAAGCUCACUCCUCUUUCUCUUCCGCAGUGCCUCUCUAAGGAAAAGCUGUGUCUGUCUUUAGCACAUUGCUCGGCAUCUUUAUCCUUUGAUUCGGCAAUCUUGUAUGCUGUCCAUUAAUCUCUCUCUCUUCAAGGGAUGUAUCUUGCAGUUUUUUAGGUAUGUCACCCUACCUUGUUACCAGCUUUUGGUAUGCUGUUCCUUACAACCAAAAUGCCUCAUAAACCUCAUCUGUAUAGCGGCAAUCGCCUCUUCCUUCAAGACUCACAAAAGG
rnacentral:lncRNA from 1 species